rnacentral:tRNA from 3 species
GGGGGUGUAGUUCAAUGGCAGAACAGCAGUCUUCAAAACUGCGUGUUGUGGGUUCGAGUCCUGCCACCCCCGCCA